rnacentral:rRNA from 1 species
AUUGAACGCUGGCGGCAUGCCUUACACAUGCAAGUCGAACGGCAGCACGGGUGCUUGCACCUGGUGGCGAGUGGCGAACGGGUGAGUAAUACAUCGGAACAUGUCCUGUAGUGGGGGAUAGCCCGGCGAAAGCCGGAUUAAUACCGCAUACGAUCUACGGAUGAAAGCGGGGGACCUUCGGGCCUCGCGCUAUCGGGUUGGCCGAUGGCUGAUUAGCUAGUUGGUGGGGUAAAGGCCUACCAAGGCGACGAUCAGUAGCUGGUCUGAGAGGACGACCAGCCACACUGGGACUGAGACACGGCCCAGACUCCUACGGGAGGCAGCAGUGGGGAAUUUUGGACAAUGGGCGAAAGCCUGAUCCAGCAAUGCCGCGUGUGUGAAGAAGGCCUUCGGGUUGUAAAGCACUUUUGUCCGGAAAGAAAUCCUUGGCCCUAAUACGGUCAGGGGAUGACGGUACCGGAAGAAUAAGCACCGGCUAACUACGUG